rnacentral:rRNA from 1 species
GACGAACGCUGGCGGCGUGCUUAACACAUGCAAGUCGAACGGAAAGGCCCUGCUUUUGUGGGGUGCUCGAGUGGCGAACGGGUGAGUAACACGUGAGUAACCUGCCCUUGACUUUGGGAUAACUUCAGGAAACUGGGGCUAAUACCGGAUAGGAGCUCCUGCUGCAUGGUGGGGGUUGGAAAGUUUCGGCGGUUGGGGAUGGACUCGCGGCUUAUCAGCUUGUUGGUGGGGUAGUGGCUUACCAAGGGUUUGACGGGUAGCCGGCCUGAGAGGGUGACCGGCGACAUUGGGACUGAGAUACGGCCCAGAGUCCAACGGGAGGCAGCAGUGGGGAAUAUUGCACAAUGGGCGGAAGCGUGAUGCAGCAACGCCGCGUGCGGGAUGACGGCCUACGGGUUGUAAACCGCUUUCGAAUGUGACGAAGCGUGAGUGACGGUAAUGGGUAAAGAAGCACCGGCUAACUACGUG